UCGGGGAGACUGGAUUCGAACCAGCGACCCUCUACUCCCAAAGCAGAUGCGCUACCAGGCUGCGCUACUCCCCG
rnacentral:tRNA from 1 species